UGCGGGGUGGAGCAGUCAGGUAGCUCGCAAGGCUCAUAACCUUGAGGUCGCGGGUUCAAAUCCCGCCCCCGCUACCA
rnacentral:tRNA from 1 species